GGGGUUGUACUGGUUUCGACGGGCUUGUUGAAUAUGGUGAAGCUAUCCGUGGACCGUGACCACGUUAAAACAUGGAAAAACAAUAAACGCUGAAGACAAUUUAGCAUACGCAGCCUAAUGGCUGUUGUCUUAUGUUUUAGCACCUACUCUAAUUCAUAGGGCAUCAAACAAAGUAGGAAACGACGUAUACAAAGCUUUGCGUAUAUGGGCGUAAUAUGAAGCUACUAAACGGAGAAGAAUGUUCAUUUUCGUCUCCGGGAGGGAAUGUAAAAGAAUGAACUAUGAUAGUAGAAGAACAUGGGAUUCAGGUUCGGACGCGGGUUCGAUUCCCGCCAGCUCCAUUU
rnacentral:tmRNA from 1 species